rnacentral:lncRNA from 1 species
AAGCGACGGGCGCGGAAUUUCCGUGUGAAGCUCGGCGCCGUGUUUGCCCGCGGAGGCGCCUUAGAGCCUUGGCUUUGCAUGCCGGUGCUCAGGGGUUUAGGUUGGUCAUCGCUCCGAGGAUGCUUUAUAGAGGUUAAAUAAUAUAAAAGCACAGCCCUUUAGCUUGUUGUUUUGUUUGUUUGUUUGUUUGUUUUUCUUUCUACAGGCUAAAAGUUUCUAAUACGUACAUCAGAGCUUUCCAAAAGAUUUGGGCAUUCCCCAUCAGUAAGUCAUUGCAGGCCUGGAAGUCUGAAUAGGCCAAAAGUCAAACGGCAAGAGGAAGGGACAGAAAGAAUAUUUAAGUAUUUAGAGCGAUCUAACCCAGCUGGUGCACAGACAGCUGAGAUGAGCGGGAGGAAUGUGCCUUAGAGGUAAAGAUGAGGAAUAUGCACUUGAAAAGAGGGUGACUGCACCUGAAGGCAUUGCUCAGAAGAGGAAGGUGUAUGCUAAUGAGUGCUAUGCAAAGAAAUCAGGAGGGAAAGGAGGAGCUGAGGGCCUUGCUAUCUCUAUGAUGAGACUAGGGAAGCUGUGCAACAAGAAUGGUUUUCAGAAGAGUGAGAAGGGACCAAGUGCUUGGGAACCAUGUCCAGGAAAGGAAAAAAGAAAUAAUUAA